ACUGGACCUCCACACCAGGGGGAGGGGCCCCUGUAGAACAGGUGAGAACAGCUGGCAGGUAACAGUCACCUGGGUUCAAAUCAGAACCACAACACCUGGAUCAGGUACCCUAGAACCCAAAGGUCUCCUUUAAUAUAGACUCUGGCUCAUCCCUUGAGUUAGGAGCCAGUUCCUCUCUGAAUUUUUCAGAGGUCAAAGAUCAAACAGUUCUCUGAAAAUGUUCUGGUACCAGAGGUGGAAUUGGGUCAACAAUCAGGAUUUCUGGGUCUGGAUCAGAACACUUAAACUGUCUCUCACCCUUCUGUCCCUCACCCGUCUGUUUCUCACCCAUCUGUUUCUCAUCCAUCUGUUACUCACCUGCCUGUCUCUCACCUGUCUGUCCCUCACCUGUCUGUCCCUCACCCAUCUGUUUCUCACCCAUCUGUUACUCACCUGUCUGUCUCUCACCUGUCUGUCUCUCACCUGUCUGUCUCUCACCCGUCUGUCCCUCACCCAUCUGUUUUUCUCCCAUCUGUUACUCACCUGCCUGUCUCUCACCUGUCUGUCCCUCACCCGUCUGUCCCUCACCCGUCUGUCCCUCACCCAUCUGUUUCUCACCCAUCUGUUACUCACCUGCCUGUCUCUCACCUGUCUGUCCCUCACCUGUCUGUCCCUCACCCAUCUGUUUCUCACCCAUCUGUUUCUCACCUGCCUGUCCCUCACCCGUCUGUCCCUCACCCAUCUGUUUCUCACCCAUCUGUUACUCACCUGCCUGUCCCUCACCUGUCUGUCCCUCACCCAUCUGUUUCUCACCCUUCUGUUACUCACCUGCCUGUCUCUCACCUGUCUGUCCCUCACCCAUCUGUUUCUCACCCUUCUGUUACUCACCUGCCUGUCUCUCACCUGUCUGUCCCUCACCCGUCUGUCCCUCACCCAUCUGUCUCUCACCCAUCUGUUACUCACCUGCCUGUCUCUCACCUGUCUGUCCCUCACCUGUCUGUCCCUCACCUGCCUGUCUCUCACCUGUCUGUCUCUCACCUGUCUGUCCCUCACCUGUCUGUCCCUCACCCAUCUGUUUCUCACCCUUCUGUUACUCACCUGCCUGUCUCUCACCUGUCUGUCCCUCACCCGUCUGUCCCUCACCCAUCUGUCUCUCACCCAUCUGUUACUCACCUGCCUGUCUCUCACCUGUCUGUCCCUCACCCAUCUGUUUCUCACCUACCUGUCUCUCACCUGCCUGUCUCUCACCUGUCUGUCCCUCACCUGUCUGUCCCUCACCUGCCUGUCUCUCACCUGUCUGUCCCUCACCUGUCUGUCCCUCACCCAUCUGUCCCUCACCUGCCUGUCUCUCACCUGUCUGUCCCUUACCCGUCUGUUUCUCACUCGUCUGUUCCUCACCUACCUCUCUCUCACCUGUCUGUCUCUAACCUGCCUGACUCUCACCUGCCUGUCUCUCACCUGUCUGUCUCCACCUGCCAGCCCCUGUCAUCAAAGUCCCCCCUCAGAGCCAGGUGAACGGACCUGGCAGCAGUCUGGUGUUUCUCUGUGAGGUCUUUGCUUUUCCAAUGGCUCUGGUCGAGUGGAGGAAGGAGGGACGAGAAGAUGUCCUACCUGGAGACGACCCACACAUCUCCAUCCAGGUCAGUCAGUGGUGUCCAAUCCUGGCCGUCCGCGGGGUCACCGUCCCGAGUGUUUAGAGGUUUCUCUUCUCCUACACACCUGAUAUUAAUCAGUGGCUGAUUAGCAGUCGUUGAAGCAGGGAAACAUCUACAACCCGCUGGAAGACACCGCUGAGGUACAAGUACCACUCGUUAAAGCAACAGUACAACCGCUUCACUCCUCUCGCCUUUUCAAAGACAAUGAGUGUUUCUCAAUGUCAAGGCGCCUGGCCAACGUUGCAACUUCUGAGCAACUAACCAACCAUAGCUAACUGCUUUGGAUAUAAAAAACGUUUUAGAAAUCAGUCCGGUAGCUACACUUAGCUCACUUACAUUUAAAUUUGAAAUUUGCCCCCGAAGAAUCUGCCAGCUCCUAAUCCUCUGUAUUUCUGAAAAUACUGCGCUGUGUUCUGGGAACGUUUUGACCAAGGCCAGGCUACAAGGCACCUCCCGAGUAUCCUUGCUCAGCUAGCUACACGGCUAACCAAUGGAAAACAGACUCAGUGGAACAUGAACACUUUAACGUGCCUUGGCGGUUCCUGAUGACGUCAUCUCCUAGGCAAUCGGGGCGGGACCAAGGCAUCAAGGCGAGGUUCCUUGGCAUUGAGAAACACCCAAUAACUGUCUGAUAACCUGUCUCACAGUCAAGGGGCGGUCCUAUGAAAUUUGAGCUCUCCAGCUGGCUGCAGAUUGAGAGGGCGGAGCUUAGUGACUCUGGAACCUAUCACUGCAUAGCUCGUAACAACAUGGGAUCUGUCUCUGCGUCCGCUGUACUGGGAAUUCUGGGAGCAGAGGAGCUGUCGUCCUACCUGGCCACCAGUGUGUCUGAGAUGAACCAGCUGAUGGACAACUACGAUCUGGAUUUCUACUGACCUAUAUUUGAUCUCACUUCCUGUGUCCGGCAGCCAUCAGAUACAUUUACACUGGCGAGGGGGAGGACGGAGGAGGGGGCUCACGCUUGCCCUCAAGGGACACACGCAGCGGGAUAUAUGUUCGAUUCCUGGAAUAAGUGGAAUGUCAUCUGUCUCUCUCAGCUGUCCAUUGAGGAUGUCGAAGAUGUGUGGAUAUUUGACCUGAUGAUCGUCGGAUUUCUUCUGAUUGGAGUGGGAGGAUAUCUGGCUUUCUGUAAAACUGGGAUGACGGGAGCGAUUGGAGGGCGACCCGCAUCCAUGGACGGCACCGUCCGUGUGGAUACCUCACAGACUGGGACGUUGCUCGAGGUGAAUCGCAAGCUGGACAAUGUCUUAGCUGCGUUACCGGUGUUAGCGUGCAAGAUUGAUAACAUCUCGGAGAGGGUCACCGGACGGUGUGGAGAUGUUUAAUCACCUAAUUGGCUUCACUGGAGGACUUGAAUGAUCAAUACAGACUUUAAGGCAGAGAGGGAAAAUUAUCUCUGCCUGACCCAAACAAAGUUCUGUUAUCGAAUCUGACGCCAUAAGCAGCCUUGAGAAACCAGGAUCCCUGCACACACCCCCCCACCCCCCCACACCC